GUUUUUUUUUGUUAUUUUUGCGCUUCUCAAUGUGCAGGAUGUUGACUCAGAGAAGUUUUUUUCCAUUCUGAUACCCAGAAUUAGCAUCAGACAAGAGAGAGAGAGAGAGAGACAGAAGGAGAGACAGUGGAGGGAAAGAAAGAAAGAAAGAGAGAUGGGAUUUUAAUGCAUUGUUUGCUGAAAUGUCGGUGUCAUUUUGCAUUAACAAAAAAAUAAGAGUUACAAAGUGUAACAGUUGGAAUUAUUCUGAAUGAUAAUUGCUGUCUGCUUAAUCCGAGAGAGACCCAAGGAAGCUGGGGAGGAGCUCCUCAGGCACAUGGAGCAAUCCUGCCAGAGGUGGGAGGAGAUUCACUCAGCCUCACUCUGUACAGACAUCCAACAUAUAGAGAGAGACACACACAUCACACACACACACAGAGAUGCAGACAGAUAUUGCAGAGAUAUUACCUGUGUAGAAACAGAUAGAGACACACACACACAGGUACAGACACACACCACAUCGUUUCAGAGAGAGAGAGAGACACACAUAUAGAUUUGGACAGACUCAGAGACAGUCAGAGGCACAGACACACACAUCACACACAUACACACACACAAACGAUUAUGUAAAGGAUGCAGCCACAGUUCUGAUCUGUGUGAUAUUUUAUUGCUGGUCUUGCCAUGGUGCAGGGCAGGGAGAGGGACAUACUGCCUGGGGUCUGCUCAGCCACACGCAGAAGCUGUGUUGCCUGAGCGCUAGUCGUGCCUCUCCAUUGAUUGGAAUGAGGAGACCCCGGAUCAGUUGGCCCGGACGUGCUUCCAAACUUUCCUCCGGAAAACGUUUCCAAACGUGGAAAGUUCACACCAGGAGGAUGGCCUGAGAUGCUACCCCGCGUGGA